CCUUUGAUUUCCAGAUAAUUAAUCAUGUACUUUAGAUUGGCUUUUCUUACUAAUUUCAGAGAAAAUGAAUCUCUUCCUUUUGCCAAUACUAGAGGAUUUACUUCUUCGUUUUCUUAAGGUAUUAGUUUUGUUAGAUUGAGUUUUCAUUUGAUUUCUAGAUAAUUAAUCAUGUAUUUUAGAUGGAAUUUAAUUCUUUAGGGGUAUACAAUGUAACAUUAUAUUGCUUCAAUCCUAUUAGAGUGGCUUCCAAUACUAUGAAGAAAUUUUGGUUAUUUACCUGUUUAUGAAAUCAUGAGGUAAGAUUAGGCUGGAUCAAAAAUUGAUUCUAAUGGAAGAGAGUGCAAAGUAAUUGAAAGAUGGACAAUUUGCUGGAUUAUGAUAGAUUAAAGUUUUGUUGUUGUUGAAUUGUUGUCUUACUAUGAAGUAUAUGCUUGUUUUGCUACUUUCAUAAAUCACAACAUUUUGGUGCGAAGUAUGUAUGCUAUAGUCAAGGGCUUUGUUUACCCAAUACCAAACUUAUGUUAGCAAUUCAUCAUAAGUGAAGACAUAAAAAUAGUGGAAUGAAAAUUGCUGCAAGAUUGCUUUUGUUGUGUUGGGUUUUCAAUACAUUUAUUCUGGAACAAUAUGGCAUGCUCCAUCAAGCUGAAAGAGAGCUUAAUUUAUGUAAGGGUAUAAAAAUAGUAUACAGUGAUGGAGUUCUUGAAGUAUGAAUAGUUGGUUCUUUUGACUGAUUGUGGUACUUUUGUUCACCAUAUAUGACAUAUUAACUUGAUUGAUGUACUCAAUUAGUUAUGUGUAUUAUCGUUGGUUGAUUUUGCUUAUAUGUUUGUAGCUGUUGAAUCUGAUCCAGCUUGUGUUGUCUCUGGAUAUGUUGCGAUGUUACGAUGUUAUUAAUUAAUUAAACAUUGGUUAUAUUAUGUCUCAGUAUACCAUGUCUCAUGAUCGACAAGUUUCCAUUGUUAGAAACCGAACUAGAGAUGACAAUAGUGAUAGCGAUGAAGAUGAAAUGGAACUAAUUGCAAUAGUUAGUGGCUUUAUUAUGGUUGUAGUGGGAGCAUGGUUUGAUAGGUUUCAGCAUAAAGAAGUUUAUUGGAACGAACAUGAACGUGCAAUUAAAAGAGCAUAUUGGUUGGAUUCCCUCAUGAAUGAUAGGAUUUGUAAAGAGCAGUUACGUAUGGAUCGGAGAUGUUUUGAUAAGUUAUGCGAGAUUUUAGUUACUAGAGGAGACCUAGUUACUACUAGGAAUGUGACCAUAAUAGAAAUUGUUGCUUUUUUUUUCUACAUACUCUUGCCCAUGAUCUGAAGAAUAGAACUAUUGGUGCCGUGUUCACUCGUUCGGGAGAAACGGUAAGCCGUCAAUUCCAUACCGUGCUCAAAGCUGUGAUGAAAAUAGGCAAGUAUUAUAUCAAGCAAGUAGAUUUCAAUGUGACUUAUGAUGGAGACAACAAGUGGAAGUGGUUUGAGGGGGCACUUGGGGUACUUGAUGGGACACUUAUUAAGAUGACAGUUCCCGUCGAAGAUCGACCUAGAUAUAGAGAUAGGAAAGGAGAUAUUACUACCAAUGUACUAGCUACAUGUGAUCCAAGUCUUCGGUUCAAUUAUGUUUUGCCUGGCUGGGAGGGAUCGGCUUCUGAUCCUCGCAUUUUAGGGGACGCCCUCCGAAGACCCAAUGGUCUCAAAGUUCCUAGGAAUAAAUAUUUUCUUGUUGAUUUGGGAUAUUCUAAUGCACAAGGCUUCUUGGCUCCAUAUAAAGGUACACGUUACCAUUUAAACUUGUGGAGAGGAAGUGCUCCUACAAACUACAAAGAAUUGUUCAACUUGCGUCAUUCAUCCGCACGUAAUACUAUUGAAAGAGCCUUUGGGUUAUUGAAAAAGAGGUGGGCUAUAUUGAGGAAAAGUAGCUUUUAUGAUAAGCAAACACAAGUAAGAAUCAUAAAUGCAUGCUUUGUUCUCCAUAAUUUUGUUAGAGAAGAAAAUUUGGAUGAGGAGAAUUUGUUAAAUGAGGUGGACGAUGAUUUAUCAAAUGUAGAAGCUUUUGAUACAAUGGAGGAUGAAAGGGAGGAUUUCAUUUCAACGGAACAAGCCUCACCUCAAUGGAACAACUUAAGAGAUGAAAUGUCACAAAAAAUGUUCCGAGAAUACCAAGCUCGAAGGGGGGCUACUUGAUUGUGGUUAUUUUUAUUCUCUAGUAGUGUAGGUAAUGAGCAAUAAAAGAAGCUAUGUGUCUUGGAAUAAGCAGAUGGAUGACAUUCUUACUCGAGUUUUGUUAGAACAAAUCAACAACAAGGAAAAAGGAGAUGGAGACUUUAAGCCUCAAGCUUACCAAGCUGUUGUUGAUGAGUUAAAGAGAGAGCUAGGCAUUGCACUUAAUGUGGAUCAUGUGAGAAACCGAACUAAGUCUUGGAAGAAACACUAUGGCUGCAUCACGGACAUCAAGACUUAUACAAAAUUCAAGUGGGAUGACGAAAAAAAAUGAUCGUAAUCACAAUGGAAGAUCUACCUCAAUGGACAGAAUAUAUUAAGGUAAACAAAAAUGCUGCCCCUUAUCGCAACAAGUGCAUAGAAAAUUGGGAAGAUAUUUGCACUUUAUUUGGUGCGGAUAGAGCCGUCGGGGAUGGUGCAGAACAACACGAGGAGGCAGCGGAUGCCAUGGAGGGGGAGGCGAUCUGUGAACGAACAAGCUCUUCUAAGGAUCCAACUAAUUCAAGCUCUCGCAAGCGGAAAAAGGAUAGUGUAGCUGAUGCGGUAAAUAGUUUUGCUGAGUCAUUUAGAGAGUACGUGCAAAGCAAGAUUAAAGACACUUCGAAACUCACUUGUCAAGAGAUUCACGCUGUUGUUUCUCAAGUGCUUGGCAUUUCUAGGAUUCAGACUAUGCGGGCAGUAAAGAAGUUUAUGAAUGGUAAUCCCGACGAGUUUCUAAUGUUGAAAGAACUACCGGAGGAUGAGAAACUCGACUGGAUACUCUUAUGCCUUGACGAGUAGUUUGUACGUUACCCUUUUGAUAUUCUGUGUUAAGAUAACUUUUAAAGUAACAUUUUCGGAUUAUUGUAAUAUCAUAAUACAUUCUAUUUGCUAAUAUUUAAUAUUUUUAGUUGAAUGUAAUUACAAGGUUAUCCAAACAAUGCUAUAGAAUUUAAA